rnacentral:rRNA from 1 species
GUGAGGAAUAUUGCGCAAUGGAGGCAACUCUGACGCAGCCAUGCCGCGUGCAGGAAGAAGGCGCUACGCGUUGUAAACUGCUUUUAACCGGGAAGAAACCCCAGGACGUGUCCUGGGUUGACGGUACCGGAGGAAUAAGCACCGGCUAACUUCGUGCCAGCAGCCGCGGUAAUACGAAGGGUGCAAGCGUUAUCCGGAUUCAUUGGGUUUAAAGGGUGCGUAGGCGGAGCGUUAAGUCAGUGGUGAAAUCAUGCAGCUUAACUGUAGACUUGCCAUUGAUACUGGGGCUCUUGAGUGCGCUUGAAGUGGGCGGAAUGUGCCGUGUAGCGGUGAAAUGCUUAGAUAUGGCACAGAACACCAAUUGCGAAGGCAGCUCACUAAGGCGAUACUGACGCUGAGGCACGAAAGCGUGGGGAUCGAACAGGAUUAGAAACCCUGGUAGUCC